rnacentral:lncRNA from 1 species
ACCGGGCCCGGCCGUCCAUCCCCGUCCUCCACCAUCCGGCUGACCCCUCCGCGGGGAUGGGCAGCCUGUGGAAGGGCUCGCUUCGCCCCGUCACACAGUAUUCUUCUAGAAUGGAGUGUGGCGUCAUCUGUUAGCAAAAAAAACUUCCAGCCAACGGCCUAUGGUCUUCGAUGUACUAUUCCGUCUGGUGGGAACGGGCCGCGCUAGACGCGUCCUUCGCCUCGAUUAAUUUGUCUUUUAGUUUCCCGUUCGCUAUAUUAUUACGAUCGAAGAACGUUAGCGUAGAUGAGCGACGAGAGAUCAGUGCCUCCGUCUCUUCCGUCCCGGUAACCCAGUCAUUAAUAGUUAGAUUCGAUCUACCCGCUACCCAUCUUACCGCCAGAGAUUUAAUUUCUUUACCACCGAGGAUACGUUAGCCGCCUGGUCCGUUACCGUGGCAGAAACUCCUCCCUCAAAUUCCACCUAUCUAUCGUCCCCGAUGUAUGCGCGGCUACAUUUUCAUCCGUGCCACUUCCUCCGAGUGGCCGGAUAGAUAAUGCGCGGUUAGUACUGUAUAGUUAUCUGGUUUGUUCCAUGUUCGACUAUCCGUGGUCGGAGCCGAGAGGUUGGUAAAGGUGGUCUAGAAGUACCCGAAAGAGAAUAAAAAAAUAGAAACGUAUACCACGAAAUUAAUUUUAAGCUAGGUAACGUUAACCGUAGGAAAAUAGAUAAAGUAAAAUAAAAUUACUGACGUUAGACACCGUGCUCCGACACGGUAACACCUAUCUCGAGUUGGGAACGUUGACAAAUCCUCGAAAACCGGCAUCUUCGACUACACUGAGAAUCUUUGGUUAUAAAUUUGAUUAGACGUGUCUCUACUUGUACUGUUUCGGCUGUAAAUUGGUCGCUCUUUUCCAGUUUCGUUAGAAUUUGUUUCGCCGCAUUUGAGAUGGUCCAGGGGCGGCAUUUUGGUUACGAAUGUGACAAAUUAUUUAUAAAUUAAAUGCUUAAUUAAUCGAAAUUCGUUUGUCGAUUGUUUCUUUGGCUAAAAUUAGCGGGCAAUUUAUAUUUUGUAUUUACUGUUUUUGCCUAAAUCUAAAAAAAUAUUUGUAAUAUUUACUUCCGAAGAAAACAAUGGUAAAGGAGGAGCGUGUUUAAUUAAAUAACAAUAAAG